ACGCAGGGCUGCUGCUGGGCGCCUGUGCUGCAAUGGAACGAUCUAUUGACUGUCGCUUCUUGUUAGUGUAUAUUCUUUGGAUGUGCCUCAAACUAGUCAAUUAGUUGUGAUUGGCGCAAAAUAUCAGAUAAUUCGAUUACAACCAAUUGACAACAGAGAAUUACGUUUUAAGAACCAAUCACAUACUUACUACGGUAAGGCCUGUGGGUGGUACUAAAGCUAAUUUGCAUAUGCUUUGCGUGUCAUUGACGAGAAUGAUUUGAGCUACGUGACAGAUGGUGGUAAUUUUUUGAAGUGAGAAAAAAUGGCAGCAACCCCAAAUUCGGCUGUGUGGAAAAUUUCCAACUUGUUGAAGAACGAACAAAAGUUUGCUGUGAACUGUGUAAAAGUUGUUUAAAGUUUAACAAUUCAACGUUGUGUAUGUGGAAACAUAUGAAAGCAUUUCAUCGAACAGAACUUCAGCAGUAGCCAAGCGGCAGUCAACUUGAGGAAGGCCAACGUGAGGUAAGUCCCAGAGAUUUAAUUAAGAAAUAACAUGUCAUUCAGUAAAUGAAAAAUAAAUCCAGACAACUGGGAGAUCGCCUGAAUGAGUUUAUUUUUGAAUAAUUUUAGUUUAAAAAUCAAAACAAAGUGCCCAAAACGGCCAUUUAGAUCAGGGCGUAAACCAUUGACGGGGACAGCAUUUGUCAUCAAUGUCAAAUUGAUGAGAUGUACGGAAAAUUGGCCAAUCAAAUCAAAGGUGACCUACUUUUAAUAAUCAAAGUGCCUCAUGAGAAGUAGCUUUAGAAUUUGACAACUGUUUCACGAUAGAAAUGUUCAACGACUGACCGUAAUAUAUUUGAUAGUGCAAUCUACUCAACUUUUUAAAUCAAAUUUUACCAUUUUGAAUAAAAAAAAGGUAUGUGAUGUGAUUCCUAAUUUAAUGUGACAAGGCACGAAACAUAGUUUUUUUCGACAUAUUAGGCAUACGAAUAAAAGUGAACGUGUAAACUAUAAUUACCCCCACCCAAUGUAAUAAAAUGGGAUAUGAUAUGAAAGACAUUACAUGUGUUACAGUAGUACACUAUCGAAGACGAGGAAGGCAGGAUAAGUAACAAUAACGUAGUUUAAUCUCAUAGAGGAGUCAGGAUACAUAGAAAUACAUUUAACAUCAAACAAUACCGGACGCUGGACUAAACACAGGGAGGAACUUAAAUACACAAACUAAUAAUGACAAACAGCUGAGGGUGUAAUCAGUGUCCAUGGUGAAUGAUGAGUGGCGGGAACAAAACAAAGGAUCACGUGACAGUGAAAGAUAACCUAGACGAGACAGUAGAUGUAACAACAUGUAUUUUUGUGCUGAAUUUUAUGUUUGUUAGGGAGUCAGAAAAUUCUCCUCCAGCAAAGCGUCAGGUUCAGACAGGGAUACACGAGUAUGCCAUUAGGGAUCCUUAUCUAUGUGAGUUUUUAUUAGUGAUGGGCAUUCCGGCUCUUUUUUGUGAGCCGGCUCGUUUGACUCAGCUCACUGAAAAGAGCCAGCUCUUUAAAUAAUAAAUGUUUUAACUAUGACUUGGACUAUGAUAGGUGUGAAAACAAUUUGUGAAAUUGUGAGACAUUGCGAGUAUGAUUUCAUUUAAUAAUUUAAUUAGAACUGUUUUCACACCUAUCAUAGUCAAAAUCAUAGUUUAUUAUUUAAAGAGCCGGCUCACGAAACGAGCCGGCUCUUCAAACGAGCCAGCUCACGAAAGAGCCGGAAUGCCCAUCACUAGUGUGUGCGCCUAGGCUUAUAUAAUUAUAUUUUUUUGUGUUGUUCUUUGAAUUAUUAGUCUAUUGUUUUAAAUAAAAUUAAAAUCAUUCAUUACAUAAUGAUUGAAUUUCUAUAGGCUUUAUUUUUAAAAAUAGAGUCGGCUCUUCAGAUAUGUGAGCCGGCUCCCGACGUUCACGUAAAAGAGCCGGCUCUUAGAGCCGGCUCGUUCACGAACGACCCAUCACUAGUUUUUAUCUACAUUAGGGAUGAGAUAUUAGUGUGACCACUUGCAACUGGUUCUGGUUCUGGAGUGCAACUACAGGUACAUUUUAAAAUGUAUUCUUGUAAAGGCAGAUUAUUUUUGCUAUUUAGGACUGUCAAUUGAUAGGACAAAUAGCAUAAAAGUGGUGUUUGUUAAUUUCAGGCUUUAGUACCAAAUAAUAUUCAUGUGGUGUGUUAAUAACUUUAUUCUCUUGUAGCUGGGCCAUUCUAAAGAAACGUCCACGUUUGGUAUGGCAAGAUGUCUUGAAAUGUAUUUCUCUUUCUAACAUUUAAACUUAGACCACAUUAUUAUAUUACACUUUGACUUUAUGAAUACAUAAAUGACAGCUUAAUGAUUUUUUAUAUUUUUUGCACAUUUAUUUAAAGACCGCAUGUACCAAUAUUUUUUGUCACUGGUGUUACCUUCUUUGGCAAUUUAAACGUUUUUAUGACAUAUUAUUUCCCAAUUUUUUCAGCACAUGCAGUCAGAGUUACAGAAUAAUAAUGAUAACGCAAAAAAUUAAGGAGAUUGUUUUUUUGUUUUUUUUUAUCAGGUUUGUUACAAGUGUGAUUGAAUGAUGUUAGUUCAUUUGCACAACCAUGUAUUAGCUGUCUGUAAAGUUGCUUUUUAUCAGCUGCACUCAAUUUAGCCAUUUACCCUCAAUCUAGCCAUACCUGCCCAAAGGAGGAUUAACAAUGACUAUGUUUACAUGGACAGCAGUAAUCUAAGCAGUAAUCUAAUUAUUGACCUAUUUGAAUAUUGUCGGAUUAAGACUAUAUUCUAAUUAAGGUGUUUACAUGAGUUGCUUUUACAAUAUUCCUUUCAUGUUCCCGCUUUACAUGUUAUACGCUGAUUUCACGCAGCUGCCAUUUUGAAAUCGAAAACGAGGCUCCGGUGGGAAGAAACCCGGAAGUAUCAUAUUGAAUCACAGGAGAGUUACGAAUGCGAUGGCGUACUGUUGUGUACCAGGUUGUACAUCAUAUCAACGGAAAGAAAGUGAUAAAAAUAUAUGUCCUUUCCUAUCCUAUCCUAUCAAAAAAAUAUGUUUUUUCAUCGCUUUCCGAGUGACCCAAAAGCCUGUCGUGAGUGGAUUGUUAAAGUAAAACGGGAUAUUGGACCUCAUUUUCAGAUUACAGACAACACGAGAGUGUGCUCCAAACAUUUCACUCAGGACUGCAUUGUUCGUUCGCUCACGGGGUUGCAUAGACUGAAACGGGGAAGCGUGCCGACUUUGUUUACAUGGUGCUGUGAACUCAAGCCUCGGAGGUGUCUGUGAUACUGAAACACUCGAGGAAGAAGAAGACCACGAUUCGUUUCCUGACCAGAACACAAGAGAAGAAUCUAACAAUUGUUUUGGGGAAUUGCAAGACCAUGAUUACCUGGAAACGUCUCCUACCAUGGAAGAGCAGCUGACUGCAGCACAGAAGGAAGUUGCUCUUCUGACAGAGGAAAAUGAAAAUUUAAGAAGUCAGCAGUUUUGUCUACAGCGAUUCCAAUGUGAGCCCAAGAUGAUCGUGUUUUACACAGGAUUUAAUGAUUAUGAGACCCUCAAAGCACUCUACCUGUCUCUUCAACCUACAGCACAGUCUCUGGUGAGAUGGAGUCAAAUGAAAAGACUUAAUAAAACAGAACAGACUGUAACAGCUGGCUUUCAUGCUCACAACAUUUGUCUCUUUGACCAGUUUUUCUCGUUUCUCUGCCGUGUGAGGCAGGGGCUUCUUUCCGCAGAUUUAGCUGUAAGGUUUAAUCUGUCAAAGGCCACAGUCAGUCGGAUAUGUAUAACUUGGGCUAACUAUCUUUAUUUUAUGCUUGGCACACUACCAGUAUGGCCAAGUAGAGAGGCUGUAGAUGAGCUAAUGCUAAUUUCCCAAAACACGUGUUGUGCUAGAUUGUACAGAGAUCCAUAUUCAAACAGCAAGCUCAAAUGUUUUUAACACGGUGACAUACUCUCAUUACAAAGGCACCACAACUUUGAAAUCCCUGAUUGGCAUCACCCCCUUUGGGUCAGUUAGCUUUGUAAGCAACCUAUACACCGGCUCCAUCUCUGACAAGGAAAUCACCAAAGAGUCAGGCAUUCUAAAACUCCUUGAGCCAGGUGAUGAAGUAAUGGCGGAUAAGGGCUCUCUUAUCAGAGACCUCCCUGCUGACAGAGAUUUCAGUCUUGUAACCCCAACUUUCACAGGGUCAAGCGGACAAUUCAGUAAAGAUGAAAUUGCACACACCCAAGAGAUUGCCCGCUUGAGGAUACAUGUAGAGAGGGCUAUCAGACGCAUCAAAGAAUAUCACAUUUUUGAUGGUGUCCUACCCCUUUAACUAUGUGGUUCAGUCAACCAGAUGUGGACUGUUUGUGCUCUACUGACACAUUUCCAAGGACCUCUAUUUUAAAGGAAAGUUUCACCCCAAAAAAAAAUUUGCUGAAAAUGUACUCACCCUCAGGCAAUCCAAGAUGUAGAUUAGCUUAUUUCUUAUGCCAAAACGGGCUGUUAAAGGAUUAGUUCACUUUCAAAUAAAAUGUUCCUGAUAAU